rnacentral:rRNA from 1 species
AUGGCGGGUGGUCCCACAUCUAAAAAUAGAGGGAGAACUCAGUUAUAUCAAACAUGUGCCUUUUUUGUCAAAGACAAAGAAAAGUGUACUAUGAAAGGAAAUGUGUGCCAUUUUUAUCAAAUGCCUCCUAUCCCACCCCCACCCAUGUAUUUCUCCCAAGUCAUAUGCCGUUCCCAUGCUGCCUUUGCCUCCUUCCUGAAUCACCAGAUCAUCAUCGAUGUCGGCCGCACCCGCACCAUUGUCCCAUCCACUUCUUCAUUCUCCUCUCCUACUCCCUGCAAGUGCCGCAAGCUAUGGCCAACGAUUUUUACUAUGCUCUUGACAUUAUAA